rnacentral:rRNA from 1 species
GAUGAACGCUGGCGGCGUGCCUAAUACAUGCAAGUCGAACGAAGUGAAGAGGAGCUUGCUCCUUGGAACUUAGUGGCGAACGGGUGAGUAAUACAUAAGCAACCUGCCUCGAUGCCUGGGAUAACAGAGGGAAACUUCUGCUAAUACCGGAUACGUUAAUCUAAGACAUCUUAGAUUAAUUAAAGAUGGGAUACAUCACAACGAGAUGGGCUUAUGGCGCAUUAGUUAGUUGGUAAGGUAACGGCUUACCAAGACGAUGAUGCGUAGCCGACCUGAGAGGGUGACCGGCCACACUGGGACUGAGACACGGCCCAGACUCCUACGGGAGGCAGCAGUAGGGAAUUUUCGGCAAUGGGGGAAACCCUGACCGAGCAACGCCGCGUGAGUGAAGACGGCCUUCGGGUUGUAAAGCUCUGUUGUAAGGGAAGAACGAUAGGAAGAGGGAAUGCUUUCUAUAUGACGGUACCUUACCAGAAAGCCACGGCUAACUACGUGCCAGCAGCCGCGGUAAUACGUAGGUGGCAAGCGUUAUCCGGAACUAUUGGGCGUAAAGGGAGCGCAGGCGGUUUAUCAAGUUUAUGGUUAAAGUUCGGGGCUUAACCCCGUGAUGCCAUAGAAACUGGUAGAUUAGAGUGCAGGAGAGGUUAGUGGAAUUCCAUGUGUAGCGGUAAAAUGCGUAGAUAUAUGGAGGAACACCAGUGGCGAAGGCGGCUAACUGGCCUGUAACUGACGCUGAGGCUCGAAAGCGUGGGGAGCAAAUAGG